rnacentral:rRNA from 1 species
AUUGAACGCUGGCGGCAUGCUUUACACAUGCAAGUCGAACGGGGUGAGGGGGCAACCUCUCAUUCAGUGGCGAACGGGUGAGUAAUACAUCGGAACGUACCCCGUAGUGGGGGAUAACUCGGCGAAAGCCGUGCUAAUACCGCAUAUGCUCUACGGAGGAAAGCAGGGGACCGCAAGGCCUUGUGCUAUGGGAGCGGCCGAUGUCCGAUUAGCUAGUUGGUGAGGUAAGGCUCACCAAGGCGACGAUCGGUAGCUGGUCUGAGAGGAUGAUCAGCCACACUGGGACUGAGACACGGCCCAGACUCCUACGGGAGGCAGCAGUGGGGAAUUUUGGACAAUGGGGGCAACCCUGAUCCAGCCAUGCCGCGUGCGGGAAGAAGGCCU